ACGACUCUCGGCAACGGAUAUCUCGGCUCACGCAUCGAUGAAGAACGUAGCAAAAUGCGAUACUUGGUGUGAAUUGCAGAAUCCCGUGAACCAUCGAGUUUUUGAACGCAAGUUGCGCCCGAAGCCAUUCGGCCGAGGGCACGCCUGCCUGGGCGUCAC
rnacentral:rRNA from 1 species